rnacentral:misc_RNA from 1 species
GAUGAAGAACGCAGCGAAAUGCGAUAAGUAAUGUGAAUUGCAGAGUUCAGUGAAUCAUCGAAUCUUUGAACGCUCAUUGCGCCCGUUAGUAUUCUGACGGGCAUGCCUGUCCGAGCGUCAUUUCAACCCUCAAGCCCCCGGGCUUGGUGUUGGGGAUCGGCGAGCCUCCGCGCCCGCCGUCCCCUAAAUCUAGUGGCGGUCUCGCUGUAGCUUCCUCUGCGUAGUAGCACACCUCGCACUGGGAAACAGCGCGGCCACGCCGUUAAACCCCCAACUUCUGAACGUUUGACCUCGGAUCAGGUAGGAAUACCCGCUGAACUUAAGCAUAUCAAAAGCGGAGGA